GCCCCCGUAGCUUAGCGGUAGAGCGCGCGACUGUUAAUCGCGAGGUCGCCAGUUCGAGUCUGGCCGGGGGCG
rnacentral:tRNA from 1 species